rnacentral:rRNA from 1 species
AUUGGACGCUGGCGGCAUGCCUUACACAUGCAAGUCGAACGGUAACAGGUCUUCGGAUGCUGACGAGUGGCGAACGGGUGAGUAAUACAUCGGAACGUGCCCGAUCGUGGGGGAUAACGGAGCGAAAGCUUUGCUAAUACCGCAUACGAUCUACGGAUGAAAGCAGGGGACCGCAAGGCCUUGCGCGGACGGAGCGGCCGAUGGCAGAUUAGGUAGUUGGUGGGAUAAAAGCUUACCAAGCCGACGAUCUGUAGCUGGUCUGAGAGGACGACCAGCCACACUGGGACUGAGACACGGCCCAGACUCCUACGGGAGGCAGCAGUGGGGAAUUUUGGACAAUGGGCGCAAGCCUGAUCCAGCCAUGCCGCGUGCAGGAUGAAGGCCUUCGGGUUGUAAACUGCUUUUGUACGGAACGAAAAGACUCUUUCUAAUAAAGAGGGUCCAUGACGGUACCGUAAGAAUAAGCGCCGGCUAACUACGUGCCAGCCGCCGCCGUAACAC